GACGAACGCUGGCGGCGUGCUUAACACAUGCAAGUCGAACGCUGAAGCUCAGCUUUUGUUGGGUGGAUGAGUGGCGAACGGGUGAGUAACACGUGAGUAACCUGCCCCCUUCUUUGGGAUAACGCCCGGAAACGGGUGCUAAUACUGGAUAUUCACUGGUCUUCGCAUGGGGGUUGGUGGAAAGGGUUUUUCUGGUGGGGGAUGGGCUGGCGGCCUAUCAGCUUGUUGGUGGGGUGAUGGCCUACCAAGGCUUUGACGGGUAGCCUGCCUGAGAGGGUGACCGGUCACAUGGGGACUGAGAUACGGCCCAGACUACGACGCGAAGCAGUACUGGGGAAAAUGGCACAAUGUGCUCAACCCUGAUGCAGCGCCUCCGCGGGAGGCAUCGAGUCCGUCGUGUUGUGAAUCUCUUUCUAUCAUGGUCAAGCCUCAACAAUGGUUUUGGUGAGGGUAGUGGGUAAAGAAGCGCCGGCUAACUACGUG
rnacentral:rRNA from 1 species